GGCUUAGGCUCAUUUCUUCCCAGGGUGUGCAGUGGCUGGAGGGGUCUCUUCUACAGAACUAGGACAAGACUGGUGAUUUUAUUCUUUUAAAAUGAUGAUCUUUACUUAGAGAUGUUGAUUUGUAUCUGUGGCAAAGCUAUUCACAAUACUUUCUUUCCUUUUCAGGCCCCAGUUUCGUAAGAAAACUGGAGAGUGUGUUCCAGAGCUCCUGUGACAGUGUCAUGGGCUAGACCCAGAGUUCAAGCACAGACGAACAUCUGAUCCUGAUCUCACACUUCUCUUAGGAACAUGAAGCAUUCAAAGUCUGAAACUAAGCUCAAGCCAAGAUCCACAAAAAGGAAGAAAAGGUCAAAGAGCCUGGAACAGCUUUCCAGCAGUGUUGAGCUCAGGAGCAUGACCCCUCCGAUUCCUUUUACAUUUCACGACACGUUCCACUGCAUCCACAGGCAUAUGGAAGGCCAUUGCCACCACCACAUCUACCAGCGCCACCAGCGCCCAGAGGAGUUGCUCCUCCUGCUUGAACUCCUUUACCUGGAAUAAGUGGUUAACACACCUUUGAAAUAACCACCCUCAAGAAAGCACAUAACAAGACUCAAUGAAUUCAAGAAGAUUGAAAUUGUAUCAAGCAUAUUUUCUGACCACAAUGGCAUGAAACUAGACAAAUAGAGAAAAAACCACAAAUGUGUGGAGAUUGAACAAUAGCUG